UACAGUGGUCGGAGAGGGGGGGGAUAGUUUUGUUUGCCGCGGUAAAAGAAGGACAACGAACGAAAGGAUGGUGUAAUCGGGUUUUCCGUUGACAUAACCACUGUUCGGUCGCGCGGGAAAGCUCUGCGAACAGGCUUUUUCCCGAACAAGAAGA